rnacentral:tRNA from 1 species
GCCACCGUAGCUCAAUUUGGUAGAGCAGCGCUUUUGUAAAGCGCAGGUUAGGAGUUCGAUUCUCCUCGGUGGCU